rnacentral:rRNA from 1 species
GAUAUCUUAGUAGCGGACGGGUGAGUAACGCGUGAGCAACCUACCUUUGUGAGGGGGACAACAGCUGGAAACGGCUGCUAAUACCGCAUAAGACCACGGUUCCGAAUGGGACUGAGGUAAAAGAUUUAUCGCACAAAGAUGGGCUCGCGUCCCAUUAGCUAGUUGGUGAGGUAACGGCUCACCAAGGCAACGAUGGGUAGCCGACCUGAGAGGGUGAUCGGCCACACUGGAACUGAGACACGGUCCAGACUCCUACGGGAGGCAGCAGUGGGGAAUAUUGGGCAAUGGGCGCAAGCCUGACCCAGCAACGCCGCGUGAGGGAAGAAGGUCUUCGGAUUGUAAACCUCUGUCCCACGGGACGAAAAAAAUGACGGUACCGGGGGAGGAAGCUCCGGCUAACUACGUGCCAGCAGCCGCGGUAAUACGUAGGGAGCAAGCGUUGUCCGGAAUUACUGGGCGU